rnacentral:lncRNA from 1 species
UAUAUAGGGUCAUUGAAAAUGAGAGUGUUAUGUGUCUACUCUCAAGUAGAUGGUUCAAAAAAAAUCUAAAUAACUAUCUAAUGGCAUGAAUAGUGAGACUACUUGUGCAAUCAGGCUGCCUCCUACAAGAAAUGCUUUAUUUCAAAAGUUAUUUUUUUAAUUUCCAAAUUAUUGACAAUGAAAAUAACUAAGGUAAGUAUUAAUCACUGAUAGCAUGGUAUGUAGCAAUUGUAAAAAUAUAUAUAUUUUUGAUGUGAAUGUUUUUGAGUGUAAAAGCUUGAAUGAUACCAGAAUACACACACUUUACAACAUAUAUAACAGUGUCAAAAGCUUAUUUGUUGACAAUUUUUUUUCCAUUGGAAAUUGAAUGCAUGUGUUAAUGAAAUUGCAAGUCUUGAGUGCUCACUAGAGCAACUCAUCUACACACUGAAUGUUAUACUAACCAUACAUUAACAGCAUCAUUAAUUUGUGUGUAUGCAUUUGUAUUUUUUCAUGUCAUGUGCAAUGUAAACCUUCCAUUAAUUUUCUCACAGCAACAUCUCUUUCUUGCCACAGCAGUUAGCAGCAGCCCGUGCACUGCUUCGGGUCCUGGGGGCAGCGAGUCAAGGAGGAGGAGCCAAAUCAAGCAGGAGUGACUCAGUCAAGCACAGUGUCGCACCAGGGCAGUGUAGGGUGUGUGGUGAAACUAUAGCACGAGGAGAACACAGGUCGCACAUGGCCUCCCACACUGCUCACAGGCCCCUUCACUGUGCAGUUUGUGGUAGAGGCUUCCACCAAACAGAAGACCUUAAGAGGCAUAUCAGGAUUCACACAGGAGAGAAACCAUACAAGUGUUCAACGUGCGGGGUAGCAUUCAGACAGCGAGGACAUCUGUCAAGACACGUGUUCAAAUACCAUCCAGAACAGAGGCCGGCAAGAAGUAAAUAGUGGGAGAUGAGAUUAGGAAAUAUGGAAUGCAGUUUUACUUUUUUGUAGUUGAUAUUCUCAGUUGUGGAAGAGUUGUCUAUCUGUUGGUGCUGGUCUGAGGAGCGUGUGCAGAGGCAGUGAGAGGGCUUGCAGUGCGCAAAGGUGUUAUCGUGGUAGGGGCAAGAGGCAUUCUCUUAGUUUCAUCUUUUUUUUUGUUGUUAUCGGUAGGAUUUUUAGAUAUGCAAAAGGUUCUUUUGAGCUUAAUUUCAGUAAAUAUGUACAAAAUAAUAUAGUACAGUAUAGUAUUAUGAAUAUGAUUGGUACUUUCUUUAUAGCCAUUCACACAAAUGUACAAUAUAAGUUUAUAUACACAAAUACACAUACACAGUCACACACAUGCAGUGUGUGUGUGUGUGUGUGUGUGUGUGUGUGUGUGUGUGUGUGUGUGUGUGUGUGUGUGUGUGUGUGUGUGUGUGUGUGUGUGUGUGUGAGAGAGUAUGAGUGAGAGAGUGAGUGAGAGAGAGUGUGAGUGAGUGCGAGCAUGUGAGUGUGCUUGCGUGCUAGCAUUCAUGCUUGUGCGCAUGUAUGCAUGCUUGUGCAUGUGUGUAUGACAUAAUUUUGUUAAGUUUUGAACUUUAGUUGGAUUACAAAAUACUAAAAAGUUAUAGUAUUUUUGCCAAUGAAAUUCCCAAACCAAUAGGAACAUGGCAUUUGUGCUUGUAAUGAUGGACAAUAUUUCCUUUGUUUUUCAUAUGCCUGUGUCAUAAAAUUAUACUCUUCCUUUUGCGUACAAUGAAGUGUCAUAGCAACAAAAAUUUGAACUUUGUUAAUUAUGUUCUUGACCACAUGUACGUUAGUCUAGUUUGUAAGAAAGUACUUUGGUCUUUUACCUAUCAUGAAUUUAACACAAAGUAAAGACAAAGAAUAACUAUUAUCAUUUGUUUAGAUGUUAGAAGAAAAAGAAUCAGAACUGUGAUAUAAAGUAUGCCCAGUUUUAAGUAUAAGGAGAAAAGAAUAAAUGAUAUUUGGUACUCGUGGACUAAUUCCAAGGGAAGCGAAUAUAACCAACUUUUUGCCAGGUGUUAUUCGAUAUUUAUUUAUCUAUUUAUUCUUAUUUAUUUUUUAUUUUAUUUUUCUUUUAGGAAAAAGAUUGUCUUAUUAGAAAGAGGAAUAAUAUUGGAAGGCUUUCAGUUAUCACUGGGCCUUUUUUUUCGUCUUCUUCUUCUUCUUUUUCCUUUCUUUUCUUUUUGGGGGGUUAAAGGGAUUUCAUGAUUUGAGAAACUAUUACGGAAAAUCCUAUAUAUGAUUAGGAUUUUUUUUAUUAUUAUUAUUUUAUUUUGUUUUCUCUCAUUAAUUUACAGUUGAAGAAAGACAGCCUUAAAGGAACUAAUUGUCAUGUUUUAAGAUGACCCUGAAAUUGUUUGUUUUUUUUCUGUUUGAUUUCUGUUUAUAAUGUCUUGAUAUUUUUAAUUUCCUACAAGUAGUGCAACAUAUAUAGCAAAUGCAUUUUUGCAUAUGUGAACUCUUGGUAUUAAUGGGACCUUCAGUGUAGAAAGGCCAAAACAGACCAUUUCUAAAAUCUUCAGGAAAUAUUGUUACAGUUUUGAAACUUGGAAUGACUGUUUCUUUAUCUUUUUUUAAGAUUUGGGUGUGCAUGAGUUUGGCAAGGAUAAUUUUUCUAUUAGACUUCAAAUUCAAGUCCCCAUUAUUUUUAGCCAUAUCUAUAGUCAAUUUUGUGCCACUUUAAUACUUAAUGUCUCUUGUUGCAAUGAAAUGCAAUUACAGUGUUUCUUCACCCCUGGGCCACCACCCCAUUUCAGUGGGUCACCAAGGAUAUAAGCAUAAUUUGUUUCCCCAAUAUACCUAUUUAAAAAGUUAGUAAAGUAUUAGUCCUGUGUACAGAAUACCUGUCAUAACAUCUAAGACUAAGCAAAUCAUAGAGACAGACAGUUUAUGUUAUUUUAGAAUGUGAAUUUUGAAUAAAAGACAAUUUAUGCAGGUAUAUGGACUGCCAUGGUCAAAAUCCGGACAGGAUUUUGGGUUGAAGUCAAAGAAGGUUAAGAACCACUAAAUUACAAGAACAAAUUUAGAUGCUUUUGAGACAGACCCCCCCCCCCCCUCCCUCCUAUAGUUUAAACUAGGACCAGCUACCAUCCAACCCACUCUAUGCACCUCCACUUACUGAAUGUGAUGUAAACUCAAGGUCCCUAGAAUUCACUCAGCAAGGCACUAUGCCAAAAGCCAGUGUUUUAUUUGUCUUUCCAAAAUUUUUAAAUGCUGUGAGAUGGGUUUAAUAUCUACUUAUGCUACAAACUAAAAGGUUAAGGAUGGAUAUUCUGCCCUUUUUGCACUGAAGGCCUCUAGCAAUAUGAGUGUUUACUCUGGAAUGUCAUGAGUCUUUUGUGUCAAGAAUGUGGUUAUAUUUUCAACAUACCAGGAGGGUGUUCAAAGUGUCACACACAAGAAUGAGUUUUACAUCAUUGUGAAUAUUAAGGGAAUAUACAUGCAAAGGAUUUUUUUCCAGAAUUUUAGUAGGUCAGAUUUGCACAGUAUAAAUAUAUUUAUAUCGGGAAAAAGUGAAGUAUUUGCCAUAGAUUUUAGUUUGGUAGACUUAAGCUCAUCUUGAUUUGGAAAUAUUGUGAUUUCAUAUAUUAUUACAACUCAUUUCUCUUUCCUUCUUUUACAAAAUGGUAAACUGGCAAAUAAUUAGAUAAAUAAUUCUGCCAAGUAUUGCAUAAGAAGCAAUAACAAUUUUGGUCUGAUAUUCAAAUUGCUUGAUGUUCUAUUUAAAAGUAAAAUCAUAAUGAAAGGUCAUUGCAGUGUAUACUCAAAAUCAUACAAUACUCCCAUAUACAGAAAAAAGUUAAAUCUUAUAGUGUAGCCAUUAAUUUCUUACAUUGACUCAUCCGGCAAAAUGUCCAAUGAGCAAUUGGCGACUUGAGUUUGACCUUUCUCAUACUUUAGUGCGGCAGUUUUGCAACGCAAACGGCUGACAGCAAUUUCCAAAGAGAGAGAGAGAGGAUGGAAAUACAGAAAUGAGUUGUGCUUUACAUACCAGCUCAUAUUUCACAGGAUGUAAAGCCACAUUUGAUGCCAUAUAUUUUAGACUUUUUAGACUUUAGUUAGCUACAUUCCUUGUGAUGAUAUACUGGUACCUUGACCAGCAUGUGGCUUGUGAAAGCCUUCAUUAUCUUGUCAUAGUUGUUACUUUCUGAUAUGCCAUUUCUGCUUUAUCAUAGUGUCAGUUUAUACCAUAAUAUAAAAGUCAUCAUUUCCUCACGUAUUCUAGUCACAAUGAUCAUGUGAUAUUAGCAAAAUAGAAAGUGUCAACAUAUUUAAUGGAGUGAGAGCAAGGGGCAUUUCGUUGAGGUUUUCAAAUGUGCACGGGGAAACAAUAAAAGAAACCGAAGGAACAGAAGUGUAAAAGCUUCCGUAGAUCACAAGAAUCGUUGUUCCUGCUCCUGCUCGCUCUCCAUGCCCUACGCUUUGAAAACUGUAGCUCUUGUGAAUUUUAUAUUAUAUGAUACUUCUUUCCUAUAUUGUUUUAAUCUGUAUGUUAGAUUUUGGAUUUUUUCUGUUUUGUUUUUCAAUAAAGACAUCUGUAUA